UAUUUUUUUCUGCCGACCCUAUUAUUUUUUCAACGCGAUUGACUGUGCGACACUAUUUUCUCCAGGUGGUUGCGGGCUACUGCCAAAAUGGCGUCUGUUGUGUCACACUAAUUAUUGAAAAAACCAUGAAAAAAAUAUUUAAAAAAAAAAUUAUUUCCGAUCUACUGACCCUAAUUUUUUCGCGAUAUGAAACCGGAACCACAGGUAUUUUUUUUUACGCCUUAGACAGAUUGGAAUAAUAAAGUAAGGUGCAUCAGGGCACAUUGCCAGUCAAGGGUUAAAUGCUUGACAUUGACAGCUGGGAAGUUUGACAAGUUAAAAAAUAAGUUUAGCAAGAAUAAUUGGUUGAAGUUCGAAUGAACUGCUGUACGGAAUAUAUUCAAUAGUGACAAUAUUAAAGAUGCUGUAAUGUCCGUAAUGUAAACAAAAGCUUUGUUUACAUUUUGAACUGCUGUAUUUGUAAAAUAUGAUAUAAGUCUAUUAACGGAAUACCCAAC